UGGGGAAUUUUGGACAAUGGGCGAAAGCCUGAUCCAGCAAUGCCGCGUGUGUGAAGAAGGCCUUCGGGUUGUAAAGCACUUUUGUCCGGAAAGAAAUGGCUCUGGUUAAUACCUGGGGUCGAUGACGGUACCGGAAGAAUAAGGACCGGCUAACUACGUGCCAGCAGCCGCGGUAAUACGUAGGGUCCAAGCGUUAAUCGGAAUUACUGGGCGUAAAGCGUGCGCAGGCGGUUGUGCAAGACCGAUGUGAAAUCCCCGAGCUUAACUUGGGAAUUGCAUUGGUGACUGCACGGCUAGAGUGUGUCAGAGGGGGGUAGAAUUCCACGUGUAGCAGUGAAAUGCGUAGAGAUGUGGAGGAAUACCGAUGGCGAAGGCAGCCCCCUGGGAUAACACUGACGCUCAUGCACGAAAGCGUGGGGAGCAAACAGGAUUAGAUACCCUGGUAGUCCACGCCCUAAACGAUGUCAACUAGUUGUUGGGGAUUCAUUUCCUUAGUAACGUAGCUAACGCGUGAAGUUGACCGCCUGGGGAGUACGGUCGCAAGAUUAAAAGCUCAAAUGAAUUGACGGGGUCAUAGCUGUUUCC
rnacentral:rRNA from 1 species